rnacentral:rRNA from 1 species
CAGUCGCCGCGGUAAUACAGAGGGUGCGAGCGUUAAUCGGAUUUACUGGGCGUAAAGCGUGCGUAGGCGGCUUCUUAAGUCGGAUGUGAAAUCCCUGAGCUUAACUUAGGAAUUGCAUUCGAUACUGGGAAGCCAGAGUAUGGGAGAGGAUGGUAGAAUUCCAGGUGUAGCGGUGAAAUGCGUAGAGAUCUGGAGGAAUACCGAUGGCGAAGGCAGCCAUCUGGCCUAAUACUGACGCUGAGGUACGAAAGCAUGGGGAGCAAACAGGAUUAGAUACCCCCGUAGUCCCUGUCUCUUAUAC